CUGCCUUCUAAGUUUUUAAGAAGAUGAACAAUCAGUUGAGAGAAACAUCCCAUUCUUUCCCCAAUUACAUCAUGGGCCCCCUUUUUCUUUACUAUGUGCUCAUUUUUCUCCUGGAAGCAGAAUCUGUGCUCACUAAAAUCACUCAGAUCCCAAGACAUCUAAUCAUAGAAAAGGGACAAGAAGUGAAAAUGAGAUGUGAAGAAGACACUCAGGUUACUCGAAUGUUUUGGUAUCAACAAUCCCCAGAGAAAGGUCUUGUGCUUGUUCUUUACUCUGUGGGAAAGGAUAAUACAGAGAAUGGUGAUGAUCCUCAAGGAUUUAAAGCCCAGAGACCAGAAACCAACAUUUUUAUUCUCAGCAAAUCAUCCCCAGAACCCAGGAACUCUGGAAUGUAUUUCUGCAGUUCUGAUCACAGUGAUGAAAGGGCAUCUAAUUUCUUUACACAAACCUCCUUCCUUUCACUCUAG